rnacentral:rRNA from 1 species
AUUGAACGCUGGCGGCAUGCCUUACACAUGCGAGUCGAACGGUAACGCGGGGCAACCUGGCGACGAGUGGCGAACGGGUGAGUAAUGCAUCGGAACGUGCCUGGUAGUGGAGGAUAACUGCUCGAAAGAGCAGCUAAUACCGCAUACGACCUGAGGGUGAAAGGGGGGGAUCGCAAGACCUCUCGCUAUCAGAGCGGCCGAUGUCGGAUUAGCUAGUUGGUGGGGUAAAGGCCCACCAAGGCGACGAUCCGUAGCUGGUCUGAGAGGACGACCAGCCACACUGGGACUGAGACACGGCCCAGACUCCUACGGGAGGCAGCAGUGGGGAAUUUUGGACAAUGGACGCAAGUCUGAUCCAGCCAUGCCGCGUGCGGGAAGAAGGCCUUCGGGUUGUAAACCGCUUUUGUCAGGGAAGAAAUCUUCUGGACUAAUACUCUGGGAGGAUGACGGUACCUGAAGAAUAAGCACCGGCUAACUACGUGCCAGCAGCCGCGGUAAUAC